CUUUCUUUGCUGGCGACCGGCGCACGGGUGAGUAACACGUAUCCAACCUGCCCUUUACUCGGGGAUAGCCUUUCGAAAGAAAGAUUAAUACCCGAUAGCAUAAUGAUUCCGCAUGGUUUCAUUAUUAAAGGAUUCCGGUAAAGGAUGGGGAUGCGUUCCAUUAGGUUGUUGGUGAGGUAACAGCCCACCAAGCCUUCGAUGGAUAGGGGUUCUGAGAGGAAGGUCCCCCACAUUGGAACUGAGACACGGUCCAA
rnacentral:rRNA from 1 species